UUAUCUGGUCGGAUCGGACCUCCACUGAUUUUCGCUUCGGUGAUAUUUCAAGAACGAUUAUCACCGGGUGAAAAUCAGGGCAGGUCCGAUUCCCCAUU
rnacentral:pre_miRNA from 14 species